UCAGUCCCAGGCCCAGUGCUGUCUUGAGAGGAAGGGGAGGUCGAGGUCUGGAUAGAUGAGGGCAGUGGGCUGGGCUGGGUCUGUCAGCCUACCUUUGAGGGUAGGAUGGGUGGGAGAGGUGGUGUGACUUUCAUAAGGAGUGGGUUAGGGAGCUGCCAGUUAGAACUUGUAGGCGUGGGCUGGAGAGAUGGCUCAGCAGUUAAGAGCACUGACUGCUCUUCCAGAGGUCUUGAAUUCAAUUUCCCAGAAACCACUUGGUGGCUCACAACCAUCCAUAAUGGGAUAGGAUGCCCUUUUCUGGUGUGUCUGAAGACAGUGACAGUAUACUCACAUAAAUAAAAUAAAUCUUAAAAAAAAAAAAA
rnacentral:lncRNA from 1 species